GUGGAAUAUCUCUGUUCCACUGUUCUAGCCCUGGCUGAUGACCCGGAGACUGGUACUGCAUUUAUCAAGCACAAAGGCUCCUUUAUCUGAGUUUGAUGUGUACAUCGGCUUCCUGUCAACUCAUGGGAGGUUGGCUGAAGAAGCAGGAUGAAGCACUUUCCUUUUGCCUUCAAGAACUUUGUGUUCACAUCCUGGGUAUUGUCUGAAAUGACAGAAAGCCUAACUGAUUUUCUAUGGAUUCAGCCUCCCAGUUCCAGCCUAUCUUUUCAGAAAGAAAAUUGCCACACCAGGCAACAAUAGACUGUGUACAAUUGAAACAGCUUCUAUUUUCCAUGAACCUAUUGACUCACUCAUUUUUCAAGACCCCUUUCCAAACACAUUUUUUACAACGAAUCCUCCAUCGCUAACAUUCAUGCACAAACUGCUGGAAAGAAAGAAAACCAAGCUACUUGUUUGUACAGGAAUGAGAAUGGUGCUGUGGUUAAGAUGAUUUGCCCGUGACUCAAAACAGAAGGAUUCCAAGAUAUGACUUCUGUAUAUGUUUGUACUGAUUGUUUACCUCACCUUUUGUUUACAUUGUCAUUAUCCUAAAGAAUGCAUUAUGAUAACAGUACUUCCAAAACUCCCCAGGAUAAUGUAUGUAUUUUCCUAAUUUUCAGGGGAAAAAGCGCGUUCACUAGUUGUAGUUACACAUAUGAGUAAUUAAGUUACUAUAAAGAGUGCUAUAUUGUAAUUACCCAUCUAUGCCAACCUUCUUAAACAAACUUUCUCUAAAUUCUGCAUCUAUGCUAAGAGCACUGGGCAAGCAAACACCAGGUGAGUAAGGAGACCAAACCUUGUUAUGGUAACUAGAUAGGCACCACCCAAUGAAGGUUGCCCAAGGCAAUGGGCAGCUGGAUUAAAAACAAAGAAAUUCCUCUUUCACAAAUGAACUCCUCCCCAGCAGCAUACAAACGUGUCCAUACUAGCUCUCCAUUGUUCAAAAACAAAAAAUUAUGAAAGCAGCCUUCCAGUCAUUUCUACCUAGCAACAGGCUCCCUUACAAGCAUUAAGUGCUUCAUCACAAGUAUGUAUGCCAGUCUGCCCUGCGGGGCUCCCCUACUUUCCUUCAGAAUAAUAAUACAAAAGGCCUUAGUGAGCAUGUAGUAGUGUAUGCUUCAUACAUCAUUAAAUUGCCUUCUAGCAGCACCAUCUUGUUAGCAAAGCACUGUCUAAUCAGUUACUUAGUAAGAUAUGUCCUUCCCAGUAGCAGGUGGAAAACAUGCAGACCCUCUAAUGGGCAAGCCCUUGGAAAUCUUUCCAGCAAAUAUUUUUUUCCAACCUGAUAAGCCUCCACAAAAUAGUGCCUCUGUGACAAAAUGGUGUUUGCUGCCAUUACAAAAGGGGAAGGGAAAGACAUUUGAGAUCUUUACCUGCAGUUCUCACCUACUUCCCUUCAAACUGUACUGUCCACCCUUCUGCUUCUUUCAGUCGCAUGGACAUGAGCAUCCCUAUGAUUGUGAGCACUUGACCUGACCUCACAUCAGCUAAGCAACACAAUUUUCAGAGAGCUGCUCUGUGUACUUACCAUAGCACCAAUCUCACUGACCAUAUUUUUAAUCACUCUGAUGUUUGCAUCCACAUGGUGCACACCUCUGGGCCCAGGAACCUUAACACACUGUCAAUCUGUACAGAACUGUGCACUGUCUCUAUCCAUAUAUAACAGAAGUAAUUAUUCUUAGUAAAUAAAUAUACUAGCUCAUUUAAAAUGAAUCAUGUUCUCCAGUUGUAUUGCAGAAUGAACAAAAUAGAGAAAGCUACAAGGCUUUCUCUUUACUUUAUCACUUUAAAAUACUUCUUAUAUAAUUAUUACGAAAUUGCAUUAAGCUAUGACUCAUUCCUGCAAAUGCAGGGUUCAUUGAGGGUAAUUAAAAUAAGUCACUAUCUCUACAAGGCAGUGACUCAUAGGCUGCUGCCCAUAUCAGAGUGAGUGAAGUCAGAAGAUCCUUUCUUCCCACUGAAAAAGCAAUAACGGUUUUAUUAAAGCAAUGAGUAGACCUCAGUUUGUCCUUGACGUAACUUCAUCUAGCCAGCAGGUUUAGUUUUUGAAGUCCCUAUCGAGAAAAUUAAAUCAACUACAUAUUACCAGAAGCGUCUUACUUGAACUCUAGCUAAAAUGAAGGGGGUCUGCACAAUUGCGAUAUGUCCAGAUGUAUUUCAUAGAAAUAUAGAAUCAUAGAAUGGACAUAAAUAAUUCAAACCCUUGGAAAAUAUUACCUAAAAAGGUGUUGUCUUUGUGUGGUUGCAUAGCAGCCAUCUAAUCAAAAGUUGCUGACAGCAAGGUGCCAUACAUAGGAAGAGUAUAUGGGUCAUUUCAUGAUAAAAGUAUAGUUACAGCUGAGAUCAACAGAGAGCACCCAAUUGCCAGGAAGAGAAAUGGAAUAGUAUCAUGCCUCUCUGAUACUGUGCGAGGAAUUACAGCAAGACAGCCUUCGCACAUACACAUAUCAGCACAAUAAUACCCGACAGAAACAUUGGAAUUAAUUCACUCAACUGCUUUUUAAAGCAUUUGGUCAGGCUGGGUCAGAAUGAUUUGUACUGUCUGCAAAUCUAAUAAUCAAAAUGCAAAACUACUGAAGAAAAUGAAUACAAAAGAAGAAUUUAACUGUAUUUCUCUCCCAAACUACAGCAGUAAUGACAGCUCAUAAGCAGAUCUUUGUUUAUCACUGUUUUUUGUGCUCUAUAGUUCGUGCUCUGUAUUUUCCAGUAAGCUCUCUUCUGCUAUAUGCAUUUUAUUUUUUUCUGUUCUUUUCAUAUACUUUUCUGCUCAUUUGAUGUGGGAAAAGCCAGAGAUCAAAUACAUUUCUGGCUGAAAUUCUUAGCAGUAUCUCACAUCAGAAGAUUGCUGUCCACAUGAUGAGAAUUAACUUAGGGAAAAGAGUAUUCUUUCAGUGUAUAAAUUAAUCCAAAAUCUGGCAAUGUAGAGAAAUGUAUUUCUUGGGAAUAUAAGAUUAAGCAAAUAGCGUAUCAAAAUAACGCAUUAUCAUUAUAAAUCCCUUUUCAAUAACAUGGAUCAUAAGUGUCGGAAUCUGUGACAGUUCAGUUCAGUAUUAAUUAACCAGCUUCUUUUUCUUAAAGCUUAGCAUGAAAGUUUGCAAAAGCCUAUGCAAUAUUAAUAAUGUAACACGUGCAGAGUUUAAGCUGUUCUAUGAGUCUAAUCAAAAUGAAUUUGUUAAUGAAGCUACAGAAAUACAGAAAGAGGUGCAGACUUCAUGAUGUCCAACCAAGUUAAUUUAGGGCAGGGCUUUAAGCAGUUACUUUCCCCCUAAGGCUUCCCAGAAAUUUCCCAACUAUCAAGAAGUUGCUUCAUCUAUUUCUCUGCACCAAGGGGGACAUUAACAUAUAAUCUUGACAAGCUCCAUUUGUAUAUGAAUCAUAAUAUUUUAUAUAGGUUCCAGGGCCAAAAGGGAGGGUGGAAUAUAUUUAGCAAAUGUUUUUGUUUGUCUGCUUUAUUUUUAAGAUGUUUAAUAGCCAGUCUAUUUAUUUUCCUUGCUGGGAAGUGAGAUGGUGACUGAUACAAGCAAUCUGCUUUGGAACUGGUACCCAGAUUUGCAGAUAUGCAUGGUAUAUUAUGUGCUAUGGGCCCACUUGUGUGAAGAAAAUGGAAACAUUUUUAUAAUAUUCAAUUACUUUUUCCUUCUCACUCUUUCUAACAUCAAAAGUUUCAGAUCAGGUAGGAAGAAGUGGAAGUCUUUUAUAGCUAAUCUUCGCAUCAGUCUGCUCUUCAUGUCUCAUUAAUAUAGUUCCUGAUACUUAUGGUUCAGGACUUCAUAUGGUAGAACCAAUUAGCUCUCACCAUUUGUUACAUGUUGUAUCUAACUGUCAGGUGGAAACUUUGAACAUUGUCUUCCUGAUAGAUCACUUAUAAUUGUGGCUAUCUUAUAUUAAAUGAGCUUUUCAUUUCAAAACAGUGAGUCAUGGACACAUAGAGGCACUCUAAAAACCAGCAUCACAAAUAACCAGUGAGUAAAUCUUGUUGACUGUUUCAGCAGAGGUGAUCAUUUUGUGAUACAGAAGUCUGGAUAAUGACAGAAUCCUGCUCUGCCAACUGUAAUGAUGUUUUUUUAUUAGUGUUCUGGCUUCUCUCUCCAACAUUUCCUUCAUAUAAAAUUAUUUCUCUCCUUUUUUUUUUUCAUCAGAAAUCUUUUACAUGCUUAACUGGACAGAGCAAAGAAGUUCACUAAAACAUUUUCUGUUCUGUCCCAUUUUUGUAGGCACAUGCUCAAACACUCUGAAAAAAUAAUCCAAUGUUUUUCACUAAAACAACUUCUAAAUACAAAAUAAUCCACACCAGGGAAUAUGUCUCCUCACAAACAGGAAACCUUUGAAAUGUACUCUGAAUUUCUAAAUGAAAUAGUCUGAAUCCUAAAUUCUAAGCUUUCCUGAAGCAUGCUGGACUUCCCUCCUCUCAUGGGAUCAAAGAAUACCCCAAGUUGGAAGGGACCCAUGAGGAUCAUCAAGGCCAGCUACUGGUUCCAUACACAAAUAUCCAAAAUUCAAACCCUAUGUCUGAGAGAGCUUUCCAAAUGCUUCUGGAUCUUUGGCAGCUUGGGAAGCCUGUGCCAUGCCCACAGUCCUCUGGUAAAGAACCUUUUCUUGACACCACCUUGACCCUCUCAUAAUACAACUCCAUGCUGUUCCUUUGUGUCCCAUUGCUGUCACCAGAGAGCAGAGCUCAGCACUGCUCCUCUGUGCCCCGUGAGGAGAUGUAGGCUGCCAUGAGGCCUCCCUCAUGACCAUUCUAACAUUCUCUUUUCCUAGUGUCACCUGUGGAACUUUAUAAGUACGGAAAAGGAACCACCAAAGCCAUUAUUGCCUGACCAGGAACAAAGAAGAAUAAAUUAUAUGUGAUCAUGCACUAACAAACUCCAUGAGAUUGUUUCUGUUGUAACCGUUAUCCCACUUUUGCCUCUCCUACAUUCCUAUUUACUGCAAUAUCUACAGCAGUAAUAGACAGCACUACAACAACCUUGACUGCAAAGCUAUUGCUUGUAUUGCUCAUCCAGAAGACCU